rnacentral:tRNA from 1 species
GGGGUUGUGGCUCAGCGUUAGAGCGUUCCCCUAGCACGUGUGAGGCACUGGGUUUGACCCUCAGCACCACA